AGUUUUUUGGUUUAUUUUAAGCACAUGCGGUAUUAUUUGUUUAGUUAUUAGGAUUUGGGGUUAUUUUUGUCAUUUGGGAAUAAUUUGGGAAUAAUUUUAAUAUGGUAGCAGAUUUCUCGUGACUUUUGGCUUCCUAUUCACGCAUGAAAUCAGUUUCUUUAGGCGUUCCUUUUUCAGUUUUCGAACCGUCCCUUUCGUUUCUUGGUGUUAUCGUUGUCGCCGUCGGUCGAGGAGGGAGCAGGAGGAGUUGCCGGUGUUGUUGGCAGUCGUAGCUUGCAGCGAUGGCAGACGCCGGUGGUGACUGUCGGCGAGAGUAGCGUCUGGGCAGGAGAGGUCGGCGGCAAGUCGAGCAAAGAAGGCUAGGGUUGAACCGGUGGUUGCGUGUUUGUUCAGAUCCCCCAUUGAUGAUGACGAUUUCGUUGAAGGUCAUGAUCCUUCCUUAUAAAGAGGAACAAGCAGGAGCCAUCAUCGGAUGUCCGAGAUACUGUUCUAACAUAUGGAAUAAUGUAAUUGUGUACAUGGAGAAAUAUAGAUAAUGUAAUUGUUAUUUUUUACUCUCUUUGUUAUUGUUUAUGUUUGUUGGUGGCAGCAAAAUAGGUUAGGGAAACACCUUCGAUGGGGUGCUCGUACCAACUACCUAAUGAUGAUGAUGAUUUUGUUGAAGGUUCGGCUCCUUUUUUCGAAAGGAUGCGGUAGGACCCUUUAUGGGAUGCUCCGAAUACUGAUCUAAUCGCGGAGGAGCUGGUCCGACUGCUUUUCUAGAAAGUUUAUGGUUUUUGUUUAAUAUAUCUAAACUCCGUUCGUAAGUCAUGAUAACAUUUAAAGAGCAUUGAAAUGUUAUUAUUUAUUCAUAGCUAAAUGUAAUUGAAAUUCGAAAUGUAAUUAAAAUAUUUAUUGUUGUUUAUCAUGCAA